UACGUAGGGUGCGAGCGUUGCCCGGAUUUAUUGGGCGUAAAGGGCGCGUAGGCGGUGAGAUGCGUCCGUUGUGAAAUCGCCCGGCUCAACUGGGCGGGUCAGCGGAUACGGUCUCACUUGAGCAAGCUAGGGGCAAUGGAAUUCCCGGUGAGUGGUGGAAUGCGUAGAUAUCGGGAGGAACACCGAGUGGCGAAGGCGGGUCGUCUGGACAGUU
rnacentral:rRNA from 1 species